rnacentral:pre_miRNA from 1 species
CACCUACUCCCUCCGUUCCGAAUUACUCGUCAUAGAAAUGGAUGUAUUUAGAACUAAAAUACAUCUAGAUACAUCCAUUUCCGCGACAAGUAAUUCGGAACGAAGGGAGUAGGUU